CAAUGCAGAGUGGCAGACGGGUGAGUAACGCGUGGGAACCUUCCCAGUGGUACGGAAUAGCCCAGGGAAACUUGGGGUAAUACCGUAUAAGCCCCUAGGGGGAAAGAUUUAUCGCCAUUGGAUGGGCCCGCGUCGGAUUAGCUAGUUGGUGAGGUAACGGCUCACCAAGGCAACGAUCCGUAGCUGGUUUGAGAGAAUGACCAGCCACACUGGGACUGAGACACGGCCCAG
rnacentral:rRNA from 1 species